rnacentral:lncRNA from 1 species
GUGCCUUAUAACAUGUCUUUAUAACUGGCUGUGUAAGAAUGAAGAAAAGCUGUCCAUCUUCUGAGAAGCCCACUUCUCCACCAAGGUGCUCAGUUUUAGGAGUGGAGAACAGGGGCCACGGAAAAUACAUUGCUCCCCAGCUCCCAGCUCUCUUUACUUUCUCCCAGGAAGCAGCAUGUGCCAUCCUUCUGUCAGAAAACACCAAAGAGAUGAAGAAAUGAGAAAUCCAGAAACCAAAGACCUUGCUCUUUUGUCAAACAGACUUGGUAGAGCAGAGUUGCAAAAUCAGACCUUUGGGGGCUUGCGUGUUUCUCCUCUUACUCCCUGGUGUAGAAGCCCUGCCUUGAACUUCAGGCUGCCUGGCUUGGAUCCUGAUGCUGCUUUGCUGACACAAUCCAUUCUCCCAGGGAACACCCAGAGUUCCACUCCAGCCCUGGCAACGCUGCAGCAGAGUAGGCCAACUGUACGGAAAGUCUACAUUGGCUCGGAACAAUUGAGGCUGGGAGAGGACCUCAGGACGAGGACAUGCAGAAAAAGUGCUGAGUGUUCUUUAAAGCAGUAGCAAACCAUGGGUUUGGCUGGUGAUUUCCUGCUUGGUCGUCUUUUAAAACCCAGCCAUCUGAAUCCGAGAGUUGCUUCUUCAGCAAGGCCUCCCCUGACUCCUUCAGAUGUCUAAGCACCACCCCUACUCUUCUGCUGCAGCAUCUCCACUUGCUUUUGUCCUUCAUCUCCCUGAAAUUAUUUGCUUACUCAUCCAUCCAUGUCAGUUGCAAAAGCAUGACUUCCUCUAGUCCAAAGGCCAUUCAUGUUCAAUAUGUUAGCACUCGGAGCGUCUCCAGUGGUUGUUUCAAACAAGGCAAAUGAGUUCAGUUGAACUUUAUAUGUUCUGCCCUCCGACUGUGACUGUUAUUUACUUCCCUCCAAACAAAAUGUAAUAAUAAAAUGACUAACUGAA